rnacentral:rRNA from 1 species
GAUGAACGCUGACAGAAUGCUUAACACAUGCAAGUCAACUUGAAUUUGGGUUUUUAACUUAGGUUUGGGUGGCGGACGGGUGAGUAACGCGUAAAGAACUUGCCUCACAGCUAGGGACAACAUUUGGAAACGAAUGCUAAUACCUAAUAUUAUGAUAAUAGGGCAUCCUAUAAUUAUGAAAGCUAUAAGCGCUGUGAGAGAGCUUUGCGUCCCAUUAGCUAGUUGGAGAGGUAACGGCUCACCAAGGCGAUGAUGGGUAGCCGGCCUGAGAGGGUGAUCGGCCACAAGGGGACUGAGACACGGCCCUUACUCCUACGGGAGGCAGCAGUGGGGAAUAUUGGACAAUGGACCGAGAGUCUGAUCCAGCAAUUCUGUGUGCACGAUGAAGUUUUUCGGAAUGUAAAGUGCUUUCAGUUGGGAAGAAACAAAUGGCGGUACCAACAGAAGAAGUGACGGCUAAAUACGUG